rnacentral:rRNA from 1 species
GACGAACGCUGGCGGCGUGCUUAACACAUGCAAGUCGAACGGAAAGGCCCUGCUUUUGUGGGGUGCUCGAGUGGCGAACGGGGGAGUAACACGUGAGUAACCUGCCCUUGACUUUGGGAUAACUUCAGGAAACUGGGGCUAAUACCGGGUAGAAGCUCCUGCUGCAUGGGGUGGGUUGGAAAGUUUCGGCGGUGGGGGAUGGACUCGCGGCUUAUCAGCUUGUUGGUGGGGUAGUGGCUUACGAAGGCUUUGACGGGUAGCCGGCCUGGGAGGGUGAACGGCCACAUUGGGACUGAGAGACGGACCAGACUCCUACGGGAGGCAGCAGGGGGGAAUAUUGCACAAUGGGCGGAAGCCUGAUGCAGCAACGCCGCGUGCGGGAUGACGGCCUUCGGGUUGUAAACCGCUUUCGCCUGUGACGAAGCGUGAGUGACGGUAAUGGGUAAAGAAGCACCGGCUAACUACGUG